UCAAAAUAAUUUUUUAUUGCUUUUCUGGGAGUGGUCUGAAAUCUUGCUUUUACAAGGCUGACAGUAGAAAUUCAAGCUUGAUUUCCAUUACAGUGCUCUAGAGAAAAUGUGCCGUGGCUGUCAGUAUCUCAGGCAUGACAGACUUAGAAAACUUCCAUGGCAAAACAAGUAGAGGUAGUGUAUGUGUUAGAAUAGCAAUCACUUCAGCAUUAAAAUAAGCAGUAUGUCAUUAAUGCUAUAUGACCACCAUGCUGGUUUGAAACAGUGUCCAAUGCUGGAAGGACUGAAAAUCUCUGCUUUGGACAAAUACUAAUAGGAAAAAGGACUUUAUUUUUUGUGAAAUACACUCCUGGUAGCAACAAUAAUCUGCAAUUUCUGUUGUAUUGCAAAUCCCUGUUUCAUUUCAGACUGGCCUAGAGACAGAGCAAACACAGAGGUACUCCAUCCACAUAUUUACUCAAUCUAUAUAUCUAACCUGUAGAUAUAUCUGCCUCUUCAAAUGCAAAAUGCUAGGGGGCUGUGCAUUGCUAUCGUGAUGCAUACAAAAUGAAUAAAAGCACUGACACAGUCCUCUUUCAUCAGGCACUUUUGUUUACCAUCUGAAGAAGGUUUGCAUCACUUUGCAGAACUCAGGGCAUUGACAGCAGUGAGUGGCACAGGCAGGCACAAUUCCAGUCUUAUUUGUAUCUGCGCUGCACUGGGAUCUAUCAUGCUAGUUGGCAUACAACAUGGAAGGCUAUGUGAAGACUCUUCCCUGCUUCUCCUCUUUGGCAGAGAUGAUAAGCCUAACUAGACAGAAUCUCAAAUCUCCCUCCUCCCUCAGUUGCCUCAUUGAGGCAUAUAAAUCAAAAUGCGAGUUAGGAGGGCAAACAUUACAAAAUUUUAAUUUGUUGAGGCAGAAUGGCUUAGAUUGGAUUUAGAUUAGAUAUAUGGAAGAAACUCUUCCCUGUGAGGGUGGUGAGGCCCUGGCACAGGUUGCCCAAAGAAGCUGUGGCUGCCCCAUCCCUGGCGGUGUUCAGGGCCAAGUUGGACAGAGCCUUGAGCAACCUGGUCUAGUGGAAGGUGUCCCUGCCUGUGGCAGGGGUUUGGAACUGGAUGAGCUUUAAGGUCCCUUCCAACCCAAACCAUUCUAGGGUCUUAUGAUUCUAUAAAGUUUGCCGUGCAUUGCCAAUCAGCUCAAAGCUGAAUAUGAUGGAGCUGUCAGGACACAAUGCCUCCAAAAUCAGGGCAUUAACAUCAGUGUUUUCCAAGAUAUUUUCCAGCCCCAUGUACUCCUCCUAAAAACUAGCAAGAAACCAAUUUAAAUCUGAAAGUUUAAAUCCAGCUUGUGCUGGAAAGUCAUCUAAAACAUGCGAAGAAAAUUCAGAAUAAGCAUGGUAAGGACAAAGAGCAAAUUACUCCAGCACUGGUAAA
rnacentral:lncRNA from 1 species